rnacentral:lncRNA from 1 species
CCUUACUUCCAAUCUUCAAAUCAGCCUCUCCUCCCGCAACCCUAAUGGCAGAAUCAGCAUAUACUACGAUAAAAUUGAAGUAUAUGCCUCGUACCACGGCCAACAAAUUACCCCCACCACAAUGCUCUCUUCUACUUAUCAGGGACACAAAGAAAUGACAGUUUGGUCGCCAAUUUUGUGCGGGAAUGAAGUGCCAUUGGCGCCAUACCUUGCUGUUUCUUUGAACCAAGAGCAAAUGGUCGGAAUGGUGUUGAUUAACUUUAAGAUGAGUAUAAAAGUACGAUGGAGAGUCGGAAAAUUCGUAUCUGGGACAUAUCAUUUGUAUGUGAACUGUCCGGCUUAUAUAAAUUCUGGUAAUAAUAACAAUAACGCAGCUAACGCUGGUGUUGGAAAUGCUAUUCAGUUUAAGAACUGCCAUGUUGAUGUAUGAUGUUUGAGCUGGCUAAUGGCUAGCUCUCAUUGUUGGUCUAUUUUAAUUAAAAAAAUUUUUUUUUCAGCUUUUUGUUCUUUUUAUUUGAUCUUGAAGUCCUAUUGGGUUUGUACUGUAAUAUUAUGCAUUUUAAUUUAUGUGUCAUGUACACUCUAUUAUUAUAUGGGGAAAUAAAGUUUGAACAAGUACUCUCUCUAGAUUAAUUUUUUAGGUGCAACAUUUAUUUCAAUUUUUUUUUUACAGUUUCUGGACAUGUGUGCAAGAGUGAAUACUGUUUUCCACACCCCACUUGAUUGGAGGUUGGAUUUGUUUUAUCUUCAAACGCUCGAUUCAUGCACAAUUUUAAAACGUAAAUUUUUAUAAGUUGUUAAAGAGAUUAUAUCUAUUUAUUUAGUUUAAUUUUAGUCGUCUUCUUUAAACAUGAACGAAAUUGCUAGGGUUCUGCAGAAGGUGAAUUGACAUUAAACCCAUAGUUGAUGGGGCAAGUAAAAUGACAUUACAUUUUAAAAUAUAAGUGACAUAAAAAAAAUAAAAAAAUAAAAAUUAACUUACUUUAAAAGUCGCAUAUAACUCGAUUCCUUUACUCUAGAUGUUAGCAUGAAAUCUAUGGUUAUAGAUUGCUAUGUUGCCUCUAUGACCAUUUUCUUUGUAAAGUUUUGUAAUUUAACGAAUUUACCAUCCUCUUUAUAUAUAUAUAUANNNNNNNNNNNNNNNNNNNNNNNNNNNNNNNNNNNNNNNNNNNNNNNNNNNNNNNNNNNNNNNNNNNNNNNNNNNNACCCUAUUUGCAGUCAUGAUCUAAAAGGGCAUAGGAAUCUCAAUUAAAACAAGGCUUUGUGGAGAAAAUGAACGCAAAUAUUGUAUUCCAAAAUGUUUUGUUGAUUUGGGGGUUAUUGCGCCAUCAUGAAAGGUUAGGCUGAAUGGUAAAAGUUAAGGAAUAUUUCAUCUAUAUAUAAUGUUUUUAUCAUUUCAAUGCACAAUAGUAAAAGUAAAGUAAACAAUUCAAUUCAAUAAAAAAUAAGAUAUCACGCUGUGGAUCUAAAGUUAGGCCUGCUUUAUUUUUAUCAAAAUAUAUUUUUCUCUCUUUCUUUAAUUACAUAAUUUUUAUUAAAAUAAUAUUAAAUAUAAAUAAAAAAAUUCCUUUAUUUUUUAUCCACUCAUUUUUCAUCAAUUCACUGUUCUAAAAUUUAUUUUUCCAUAAAAAAAAAAUGGAUGUCAAACAUAGCAAGAAAUAAAAAAAAAAAGGGUAAGAAUCAAUUAUUUUUUGGCAUAAAUUCUUGCACAUACAUGUUACUUAGCCCCUAUAUGAAUGAUAUGACCACCAUUAUUUCUUAAAAAAUUAAUAAUUUAAAUAUUGAUUUUUUAGAAAAUAUGUGAUUAAAAAUAAGUAAAAUUUUGAAUUUACAUACAGAAUAUUUUAUUGUGUGAAUAUAUAAUUAAAAUGAGUAUGAAAAUUAAAAUAUUUUGAAAUAAUAGUUGUCAAACAGUGACUUUGACAUGUUCAAGGAAGAAUCUAAGGCAACUAUUUCCGCAUUUUAAAUUAAAUUUGGAUCACAAAGGCACCUCAUUGGAGUGGAAAAUUUAGGUGGGACCAUAAUGGAUAAGACCACAGACCUAAGAUCUCUCUCAUAAUAAUUUUUAUGCCUCAUUUGUUUUCCAUUUUUUCUCCAUUAAAAUGAAAAUAUGAUCAUUAUUCAUUACAUAAAGACAUCAAAUUUGAAUUUCUCUCUCGUGUGGAGCCCGUAACGAUUAUAAUUUUCGUUUUCAUUUUCACAAAAUGGAAAUCACACAGGGACAUUUCAUAUGGAUGGACCACAAAUCCAUGGGGCAUGAAACAUGGCCAUGGGGACCAAAAAAACACCAACGUUGUCAAAGAUUUUUUCAUUCUCUUAUCGGAUCAAGAAACCCUUUUUCCAAAUAUAUUUUCUUGAUUCGAAUUUCAUUUUUUAUUAAUAAUUUUGAAAAUUACUUUUUGUAUUAUACCUUCGUAACUUCUGUGUGAUCAUAGUCACAGCUUCUUUGCCAUGUGUUUGAGCCCAGUUUUUGCAAAAUUCUCGUUUUCAUUCAAACUAUAUGGGACCUGUGAAAAGUAAUCGGAAACAUUAUGUGUCCCCCCAAAAUACCACCGUCACACACUUUGCAAGAGCAAUUUUCUGUUAAUUGAAGGGUAAAAUCGAAAACUAUAGGAUACAAUAAUUGAAUCAGACUGUAACAUCUAUAAAAAUUGGAGAAUAUACGAAAAUUAGCAAAAUAAUUAUAGCACUAGUGAAAUUUUUAGACACAACCUUGAACCAUUUUUCUCACCCAGGCCUUGCUUCCUAACCAAAACAUGAAGAAAGAUUGCUGCCACCACGACAAAGGAAAGAAGAAGAUCUAUAUUUACGUCUUGAUCGCCACAAUCAGCUUCAUAGUUACUGUCGGCUCCACCGUCUUCAUUAUAUGGCUCAUCCUCCGCCCUACAAAGCCUCAAUUCAUCCUCCAAGGCGCCACCGUCAAUUCCUUCAGCCUCGCCGCCCCCAACCUCCUUACUUCCAAUCUUCAAAUCAGCCUCUCCUCCCGCAACCCUAAUGGCAGAAUCAGCAUAUACUACGAUAAAAUUGAAGUAUAUGCCUCGUACCACGGCCAACAAAUUACCCCCACCACAAUGCUCUCUUCUACUUAUCAGGGACACAAAGAAAUGACAGUUUGGUCGCCAAUUUUGUGCGGGAAUGAAGUGCCAUUGGCGCCAUACCUUGCUGUUUCUUUGAACCAAGAGCAAAUGGUCGGAAUGGUGUUGAUUAACUUUAAGAUGAGUAUAAAAGUACGAUGGAGAGUCGGAAAAUUCGUAUCUGGGACAUAUCAUUUGUAUGUGAACUGUCCGGCUUAUAUAAAUUCUGGUA